CGCAAGGAAGCGGGGCGCCAAGUUGCCCGGGCCAGGCGGGCCCCACCGCCCGACCCCUGCCGGGCGGGAAAGCUGCGAGCGGAUCUCAAAUGCGGCCAAACCCGGCCAGAAAGGGACUUGGGACAACCUCCACUCCAAGGACCGCCGAUGGACAGGCUGUGCGUUCUGGGGUGGGACCAGGUCCUUCCAGCUCAUCUCAGUAGCCAGUAGAAGCAGGGACGACAGUAAAACUGUGCGGAGGCAUCUGUUGGCCAGACCCUGCCCGGGGGCCAUGGUGGACGUGGUCAGGAAGACACAGUCAAGGACUUAGCACCCCUGGGGUGACAUACAGCCCAGCAGAGGACCUCUGGACAGCCGGAGACAAAUGUUAUGAGGAGGCGACCACGCAUAAUUCUUUUUAAUCAUGG